rnacentral:rRNA from 1 species
CCCUUAGAUGUUCUGGGCUGCACGCGCGCUACACUGACGCACGCAACAGGUGCCUGCUCCGAGAGGACUGGGUAAUCAUUUGAGUGUGCGUCGUGAUGGGGAUAGAAUAUUGUCAUUAUUACUCUUCAACGAGGAAUUCCUAGUAAGCGCCAGUCAGCAGCUUGCGCUGAUUACGUCCCUGCCCUUUGUACACACCGCCCGUCGCUCCUACCGAUGGGUGAUCCGGUGAAUGAUUCGGACUUCAGCGGCUCCCCUGGGGUGCGCCGGAGAAAGUUUUGUGAACCUUAUCACUUGGAGGAAGGAGAAGUCGUAACA